GACGAACGCUGGCGGCGUGCUUAACACAUGCAAGUCGAACGGAAAGGCCCUGCUUGCAGGGUACUCGAGUGGCGAACGGGUGAGUAACACGUGGGUGAUCUGCCCUGCACUUCGGGAUAAGCCUGGGAAACUGGGUCUAAUACCGGACAGGAGCCAUUUUUCGUGUGAUGGUUGGAAAGUUUUUUCGGUGUAGGAUGAGCUGGCGGCCUAACAGCUUGUUGGUGGGGUAAUGGCCUACCAAGGCUGCGACGGGUAGCCGGCCUGAGAGGGUGGACGGCCACAUUGGGACUGAGAUACGGCCCAGACUCCUACGGGAGGCAGCAGUGGGGAAUAUUGCACAAUGGGCGCAAGCCUGAUGCAGCGACGCCGCGUGGGGGAUGACGGCCUUCGGGUUGUAAACUCAUUUCGCUAGGGACGAAGCUUUUUGUGACGGUACCUAGAUAAGAAGCACCGGCUAACUACGUG
rnacentral:rRNA from 1 species